GCCAUGGCGACAGUCGCGGCCCGGCGGGCGCAGGCCCAGCCUCAGGCCCAGGCCCAGGCCCGGCCCGGUUCUUCUGUCCCAGCUGCCCCCUAUAAAGGAGUUUGUUCCCUUGAACCCCCUCGAGCCGGGGCCGUUGCGGUGGGGGCCCUGAAGCAGCCACGUGUGUGUCUGUGGGAAGGUUUCUGUGCCCCAGACCUCUGGCCUGCCCCGCGUUCUGGGAAUGGCCGCCCAGCUGCUUUGCUACAGCUCCCUUCGUACACAGAGUGUGGUGCAGCUGACCCCCAGAAACUUCUCAAGGGCAAGUGAAGUGAGUGGGAAGGUUUGUUGUGCUGUGCCAUUUCCUUCUACCCAGCUGAGUCAGAAGAGCUGCUCAGUGAAGAGUCUGAAGAGGUUUUGGAAGCAGUUAGGAAGAGAAGCCAGAAAGUCUGAGGUGACAAAGUGUGCCUUUAUUCCAGAGACCUUGAGAAUGGCUCCAGAGCCCUGUUUGUUUGUGGAAGAGUUUUACAAAAAUCCUGGCACAGCUUGGACUUUCAAAAUUGGAUUUUGAGACUGGAGUGACAGCCCCUGGAGCCUCCUCUGCCUCCUGCUCCCAGCCCUGCGCUGGGGAAUUCCGGCUGCUCCCACCUGUGAGCUGCGGCUGAGCAGCCCGGGGAGGAGCUGGGGGGAGGAUUUCCCCCUCCCGCAGAGCCCCGGGGAAGGACAGGCUUGUGCGGAGUGGCUGGGAGGUAAUUAUGCAAACUAACACGUGAAUUCCAGCCAGGAGGAUAUCAGUUAAUUAUCUCCCUCCACGAAUGAACGUGUUAAUUGGCAGCAGAGAAGCCUGGUAUUAAGCUGAUUUGAUGCCUACAGCCUCAAUUAACGUGGUAAAUAACCAGAGGACAGUAAAAAAGGCUCUAAGAACAGCCUGUGAUUACUGAGAUUAAACCAACUUCAGCGAAGGAGUUUGUGGCUGACCUCAGCAUUCAGAGGAGUGAAAAUAAAGUGGGUGUUGCUCCUCCUGGCUGAGCCCAGGAGCAGCCCCGAGCUGUGAUGAGGUUGGGAAGGUGCUCAGAGGAGCUUGGACCCUGAGGAGCUGCCACCCCACGGACCAGCCUAGGGUGUCUCCAAGAUUGUGCUGCUCUUGCUUGUCAUAGUUCUCCGACACCUUUUAUGACUUCCCUGGUUAAUUAAGUUCUGCAGCAUACACAGACUUGAAAUGUGACUGCACAA